rnacentral:tRNA from 1 species
GCAGUGGUGGCUGAGCGAUAAAGCACUUGGCUUCAAAACAGGGUGUCCUAGGUUUGAAUCCUGGUAUUUUUA